AUAUAUAUAUAAGACAGUAAAGAGAAUGAGGAAUUUUUUUUUGCCUCAUUUAAAAAAUCUUUCUUGCAUUUAAUUAAUGCAACCCCUUAUUAUGCUUUCAAAACACAAAUGAUCAGUGAUUAGUUUCAUUAUCUGUUUUUUCAUGAUUGUGGGGAACAUAUUUGUGAUUGAGUCACAGCUGAAAGAGGCCUUACCAAAUGGCAUGUAUUUUUUUCUUUCUUUCUUUCUUUCUUUUUUAAACUUUCGCCUUCCACUAGAACAAGGUCACUUGAGAGUAAAAUAAAAAAAAAGGAAAUUGAAGAAGGUCUCAGAAUUAACAGAACAUUACGUGCUUGGUUAGCAACCUGUUUUUAAAAAUGGUGUGCAUGUGGGAUGUAGGGAAGGACUGAAGCCAGUAUUUAAUGUGGUGUGGGUGGUAAACCGUUGGUUGUCAUGGAAACGUGGUAGUUUUUGAAUGCCUGGAGUGUCAUCCAAAGCACCUCAUGUCUUAUCCAUCUUAAAUUUAACAGCAAUCAUUGCAGGAGCAUAAAGCACAAGGUACAGAUUCUAUUCAACACAUGCCAAGUCGUAUGGGUAGGUUUUUUGGCAGCAGUUCUGUAUGUUUAAAACCUGUACCUCAGUGACCCCCUUCUGUUUUUGUGUACGUCUCGUACUAAAUAGUUUUAGAUCUUCAAACAAAAUAAACAUAAAUCAAAGGCAACCUGAGUACACACAAAACACAGAUUAUUUAUUAUUUAUUUAUUUCAGGUAUCCAACACCUACAACCAAUGUGACAAACGAAUUGCCCCCUUAAACUUAAAAUUAGCUUGUGCCACCUUUUAGUAGCAAUAACUGCAACCAAACGCUUCCUAUAACUGGAGAUCAGUCUUUCACUUAUUUUAGAACUAGGACUUACUCCUAUGCUUUGGAUCAUUGUCUUGCUUCAUAAUCCAGUUGUGCUUUAGUUUCAAUUUACGGACAGAAGAGCUGACAUUCUUCUCUAGGAUUUUUUGGUAGAGAGCAGAAUUCAUGUUUCCCUCAAUUAUUGCAAGUUGCCCAGACCAUGAAGCAGCAAAAUAUCCCCACACCAUCACACUUCCACCACCAUGCUUGACCGUAGGUAAGAUGUUCUUUUUGUGGAAUUCUGUGUUUGGUUUACACUAGAUGUAACCGGACCCCUGUCUUCCAAACAGUUCCACUUUUGACUCAUUAAUCCAUAGAACAUUCUCCCCAAAGGUUUGAGGAUCAUUAAGGUGUGUUUUGGCAAAAUUCAGAUGAGCCUUAAUGUUCUUCUGGGUUAGCAGUGGUUUUCACCUCACCACUCUUCCAUGGACGCCAUUUUUCCCAGCGUCAUUCUGAUAGUGGAGUCAUAAAAAAUGACCUUUAUUGAUGCAAGUGAGGCCUGUAGGUCCUUUAAAGUUGUCCUCGGCUCUUUUGUGACUUGCUGGAUGAAUCGUUGCUGUGCUCUUGGAGGAAUUUUGGAAGGUCGGCCACUUGUGGGAAGGUUCUCUACUGCGCUGAGUUUUUAUAUUUGGGGAUCUUGGCUCUCACUGUGGUUCUUUGGAGUCCCAGAGCUUAUGAAGUAUCUUUUGUAACCCUUCCCAGACUGAUGUAUUUCAGUCACUUUCUUCCUCAUCAUUUCUGGAAUUACUUUCAACUUUGGUGUGUUAUUGGGUAAGACCUUUUAACCAACUUCAUGCUGUUGAAAAAGUUCUAUUUAGGUGUUGAUUUGAUUGAACAGGGUUUGCAGUACUCGGGCCUGGUUGCGUCUAGUCCAGCUGAACCCCAUUACGAAUGCAGUUUCAUAGAUUUGGGUAAUUAGUAACCACGGGGGCAAAUACAUUUUCACACAGGCCCAGUUGAUAUUGGAUAACUUUUUUGCUUCAAUAAAUAACAUCAUUUAAAAACUGUAUUUUGUGUUUACUCAGGUUGCUUUUGUUUUAUCUUAGAUUUUGUUUUAAUUUCUGAAAUAAUUUAGUAUGAGGGAGACACAAAAACAGAAGAAAUUUGGAUGGGGCAAAUAAUUUUUCACACCACUGAUACUCAAUGCUGUAUUAAGGUGAUUGGGUAGAGAUCAUCAUGUGCAUGCAGUAAUGAUUAAGGAGUUUUUGGGUGCAGGUAAUAUUUUAAAAUGCUUAUUUUAUUAAAAUGAUGUUUCAGGGGGAAAAAAGUUCCAAAUGUCCAAGACAAGUGCUCUUUUUUAGUUUUGCUGUGAACUGGAACAAACAAUAAGAACUUAUCACCACCAGUUAACAUCAUGCAACAAAUGGGCACUGCAGAACUAGUGGCAGCCAUUUUCAAUUCAGAAUCAUGUAAUUCAGCUUAUAUAAGAAAACUAAAAAGUCGUAUUGUGCUAUUUAGAUGCAGAUGGUUAUACGUGGCUUAACAAUGUUGUUUCAGUUAAGUGUUCAGUGACUUCAGCUUGAUUCUAAUUGGUGAUCUUAGGCUUUCAUUUCUUGCUGGCUACAUUUGCUCAAAGCUCCUAGUUACAAAACUAAAGAAGCAAAAUUUGGACACCAAAUGUCUUGGCUGAGGUAUGUUGGAAGUUUAUGUAAAUUAGAUUUUCGCCCCAGCCAUCCUUUUAAGUUGUGUCCCACCAGACAUGAAAGUUCUCCAAAGAUUUGCAGCACAACGAUCAUGAUUACAUUCUGGAGACAAUGUUCAAAGGGCAGCUAUGCAGUACAUUUGGGAAAUCAGGCCUACGCAACAAAUGAGACACGAGCCUGUCAUUUCACAAACAAUGUUUCAAACAGUUUUGUGCACACAUUCAUUAUUUUCCUGUAAUAAAUGUUUGGAUUUAUAUUAAAAAAAAAUGUGCUUAUUGGAGUUUAGGAAAGCCAUACUUUAGUUCCUGGCCUAAAUGGUGCAAUAUAUAAGAUGUUUGCGCAGAUGUAGACGUUACACUGUCUAUGUAAAUCAGAUCUGCACAUGGAAUUAGAAGCAUGUUUAAUUACACACUCAAACAGACUAUAUGUAAAUGUCAUAAAUCCUCACCGUGCACUCGGCUUUAAUGUCAUGGCUGAACACCACGAGAGAUACCCUGCUAAAUGAUUUAACACUUGUGCAUUUUCAGAGCUUAUUCAAGGUCGUGUUCUGACUAGUGGAAUAUUCCAGUCCUGAGAAUGAUGUCAUAAUCUCUCAUCUGUUUCUGCAGCGCCCCUAGCCCACUGAAGCUCGUACAGCAUGACCCACUUUGAUAUUAAAACAGUUCUUUUCAUUCAGGAAGAAAGGAUGGCAAGUGUGUCGGUUCAUAAAAUGUUUUUUGAACCUCAUUUGAAUGGAGGGAAAGAGUGUUUUUGCAAUGGUCACAUGUUGAAAAGCAGCCUGUUUAAUAAAUGCUGCUGCUAAAGUGAAUGUAGGCUAUGAAUAAAUACCAGGUAUAAAUGUAGUUCUCAUGGUCAUAUUUAAUGAUUUGUUAUUUAGAUGUUGAAUUAAAUCCAAAAUAAAUCAAAAUGUAGCAGUUGCUUUUAAACAAUCAGUGCAUUGGUGUAACUCGGGGUCUGAAUGGAAUCUUUCACUGCAUUUCCACUUUUACUGGUAACCAAAUGUAAAAAUAUUAUAACCUAUAAUUUAAACUUUAUAACCUAAAGGGUUUUUCAGGCCACUAUACAAAUGUGUUUAAAAAAGAAAUACUCAUAAUGGGUAGC
ensembl:lncRNA